rnacentral:rRNA from 1 species
UGUAAGCGUAUACCAAAGUUGUUGCAGUUAAAACGCUCGUAGUCGGAAUUUGGCAGUUCCGGAAGUGUGCACGUCGUGUGCGCACUUUGCGGGGACUGCUUUUGUGGUCUUGCGUAGGAUGAGGCACUUUCAUUAGUGAACGUCCUCACGCAACCACUCUUUACUGUGAGAAAAUCAGAGUGCUCAAAGCAGGCAUUUGCCGUGAAUGUAUUAGCAUGGAAUAAUAGAAUAGGACUCGGUUCUAUUUUGUUGGUUUGUUGGGACUGAGUAAUGAUUAAGAGGGACAGUUGGGGGCAUUUGUAUUCCGGCGCUUGAGGUGAAAUUCUUAGAUUGCCGGAAGACAAACUGCUGCGAAAGCGUCUGCCAAGGAUGUUUUCAUUGA